AGAGACUCGAAUAUCGCUACUUUUUCUACUGCAAAAAGUUUUGUUCUUAUUCGUGCCGUCUUCUCAGCUGCUGAAUUUACAAUAGAAUUUGUAACUUGACCAAUCAAAGGCCAUUUAAAAGUACUUUAUUUUUCAACCCAUCUCUUUUAUACAAUAUCGAGGAAAAAAUGAUUCGAAAAAUGGUACCUAUGCAGCAGCAUUGACAGGAGGCAUGCUGGCGCUAAGAGCGGGAAAAAUG
rnacentral:misc_RNA from 1 species